UCAGAGUUAGUUUGGUGGGAGCGCCAGCUGGAUUCUGUGGAGAUAGUUGCUCUCAAGACUCAGCAGAAAGAGAAGUGAUGGAGUGAUCUGCAUUUUCUCCUAUCCAUUCUUGACCACCUGCUUUUAAGGCUACCGUUGCUAAAGAGUUGGGAUGUGACCAAGGGCUCUGCAACUUGAAGAUCAGAAGGAUCAGGAAGCUGGGAGCAGCAGUCGGUGGGAAUCCGGGCAGCCAAAUGACAGGAACACUUUACCCUCCUUGGUAAAGCAACAUCUGGGACCUGUGCUGAUGCCCGCCCAUGCUUCGUUACUCCAUGCCCUCCCCCACCUCCUGCCUCCCCAAAGUCAACGUUGAACCAGUGGCUGCAUAAGUGAGCGAAUCAGGAGAGGGUGUUUCACUAACAUUCUCAGUGGGUGGCUACUGCUUAGCUCCAUUCAUUAUCGUCAUAAGGAUAAGGACAUGUCCAAUCAUCACAUAUUUAUCAGCAAAUUACCAUUUUAGAGAUGGCAACCAGUCUGAAGGAGGAUGAGUUGGUGGAGAAGGGAAAUAGAAAGAGCAGGGGGAAGAGAGGAGGACCGGUGAUAGGACAUACUCCUGACUCCAGCAGCGACUGCAGAAACAUGCAUGACCUUUGAAAGCACACAGAAUGCUCACGGAAUAGAACUAGAGGUCACAGCCAGGUAGGGUUUGUUGUCUUCUACAGGCUGUCAUGGGGCCACAAGGGCCAGAAAAAGCUUCUUUGGUCUGAAUGCAAUACUUGGAGUAUUCAGAGUGCAUGCUGACAGCAGUUGCUUUUCAAAGGCGCUGUAAAUUCCAGCUCAUUGUUCUAUCCCAUUUUCCAUUCAGAGGCAC